rnacentral:rRNA from 1 species
GACGUAGGGCGCGAGCGUUGUCCGGAUUUAUUGGGCGUAAAGAGCUCGUAGGCGGCUUGUCGCGUCGACUGUGAAAUCCCGUGGCUCAACUGCGGGCUUGCAGCCGAUACGGGCAGGCUAGAGUUCGGUAGGGGAGACUGGAAUUCCUGGUGUAGCGGUGAAAUGCGUAGAUAUCAAGAGGAACACCUGAGGUGAAGACGGGUUGCUGGGCUGACACUGACGCUGAGGCGCGAAAGCUAGGGUAGCAAGCGGG